CAGUGUGAUGAGCUCUCACCUCGUCGUUGAGCCAGUUGAGGUGGCUGAGUGACAGAAGCAGUGUGAUGAGCUCUCACCUCGUCGUUGAGCCAGUUGAGGUGGCUGAGUGACAGAAGCAGUGUGAUGAGCUCUCACCUCGUCGUUGAGCCAGUUGAGGUGGCUGAGUGACAGAAGCAGUGUGAUGAGCUCUCACCUCGUCGUUGAGCCAGUUGAGGUGGCUGAGUGACAGAAGCAGUGUGAUGAGCUCUCACCUCGUCGUUGAGCCAGUUGAGGUGGCUGAGUGA